UAUCUAGUAAUUCUCUGCAUCUCACAUUUCUUUUUCAUCUCUGCAUUAUUUUCCUCAGAAUCCUGUUCAGACAAAAAUAAAUGCUGCCAGUUGAAGCCUAGUCUCUGAUAGCAGUGGAGAACAACCAGUCUACUUCCCGGAAGAAUACAAGACUUCUCUGAUCUGGCAUCAGACACCUCUGUGGUUGCAGUGAGACCCCACCUGCUCAGCAACAGCUGUACAUGGAG
rnacentral:lncRNA from 1 species